GGAGGUCCAGUAAAUUUGAUUUUCAGAUAAAAAUAAUAAUAAAAUUUUAGUAUAAGUAUAUCCCAUGCAAUAUUGGGGAUAUACUUAUGCUAAAAAAAAAAAUCUGAGGUUUGUCUGUGAUUUAUUUUACCCAGUU
rnacentral:miRNA from 1 species